AGUUAGUUUAAAUUAGUUUGGCUCUAACAUUAGUAGUGCAAUACAAUACAACUCCCUGUAGGCCCUGCGAUUGCACAUUUUUUAUGUGAUGCAUAAUGCAUUUCCGGAGCUCCCUAUCUCCCCCAUAUUGUGGACUAGACGAGGCCUAGGCUUUGACUUUGGCUUUGAUUACAACUGCAAUUGGACUAGUUGGAGUGGCUUGGGAUUAUAUUGCAACUCAUAUUUUUUACCCACUCUGCAGUGACAUAUUUCCCGCUUAUCGCUCAACUUUCCCAGACUUUCUCAUAGGUCAUCAGAUAUGAUUGCAAAAUAUUUGUUGAAUGUCUAGGUGGAAAUUUCGAUAGCUACUCGCAUUACCAGCGCUUUUUGUCACCCCGCUUUCCUCAGUCGUCGUGUCAACAAAUUUCAGUGGAUGGCGCUAUUUAAAUGCCUUAUCAUCAGCGUAACUUCAUCCCAACCUCCACAGAUCUCUUGGUCAUUUCCGUUACUCGUUAAACGAUAAGCUCGAAGUCCAAUUAAAAUUCAUCAAUUUUUGAGACGUACUUAGGCCUUAUCACGCCAAUAAAUGCAAACAGAUCUGCUGGCAAGGUGUCAAUUUAAAAAAAUGUUUAAUGCGCAAAAAAGCUGUGAAUGAAUCGAGAUUAAACAAUAUACUCGUAUUACAACAGUUACGGAUCGGAGAUGGAAUGACGGGGCCCCUUUCGGAGAUCCCACUCAGUCACUCACAGCGGCAACUGAUUAAUUAUAGUGAGCACUUGUGUGUAGUACUAUAUUGCAUGAUAAAGAGAGAGCAUAAAGUAAAAAUUAUAAUCAUAAAGGGCAGAUCGUCUUCGCUGUCCCAGCUGCUGGGUCAAGUUCAAGGACAAGCUAUCAGCAAUAAUAAGUGGAAAUGAAUGGAGAGGAGGAAGCUGAAAUGUGGUAAUCUUUGGGCAGACCGCGCCCUUUGUAGAUCAUUGGGUCACUAUGUGUGCAGAUGCGUCCCUCAGAGUCACUUUACCGCUUGCAACUGGAACAAAGUGAAAACAUUGCGAAAAAAGAAGAAUACUGAGCAUAAGAGCCCCUGAAGGCUGUCUUCUUCAGAAGAUCCCCGAUUACCGAGCCAUGAUUCUCCGGCCACUUGCGAAGAAAGGAGGCAGAAAUGAAUUUGCAGCUCGUGGGUAAUCAAGUGAGGCACUCGCACACACUUGCAACCUGCAACGAUGCCACUUGUUCGCUCACUCAGACAGCGUGGAGCUUCCAUUGUGAAUGGUUUUGUUUUUGUCCGGGGCUCCUGUUACCCUUCCAUAGGAACUGACCAUAUGACAG